GACGACGCUGCGCGUGCCUAAUACAUGCAAGUCGAACGAACUGACGCGUGGAGCUUGUUCCAGUUGACGUAAGUGGCGAACGGGUGAGUAACACGUGGGGAACCUACCCUUCAGCGGGGGAUAACCGUCGGAAACGAUGGCUAAUACCACAUAACACUUUGUACCACAUGGUACGAAGUUAAAAGACGGCUUCGGCUGUCACUGAAGGAUGGUCCCGCGGUGCAUUAGCUAGUUGGUAGGGUAAAGGCCUACCAAGGCGAUGAUGCAUAGCCGACCUGAGAGGGCGAUCGGCCACAUUGGGACUGAGACACGGCCCAA
rnacentral:rRNA from 1 species